rnacentral:sRNA from 1 species
AGGUCAGUGUUGUAUAAAUUAAAGCUGUGUGACCCUAGAAUCUGCCCUUAAAAAAAAAAAAAAGACUCGUGGAUUUUAGAAUACAUUGAGGAUUGUUCAGGUUCCAGCAACAGAUAGAAAUGCUUUAAGUUCACUCUGGGGAAAGCUGGCCUCUGAAAUCCUAAUGCAGAAUUGGGAUGCAGCCAUGGAAGACCUUACACGGUUAAAAGAGACCAUAGAUAAUAAUUCUGUGAGUUCUCCACUUCAGUCUCUUCAGCAGAGAACAUGGCUCAUUCACUGGUCUCUGUUUGUUUUCUUCAAUCACCCCAAAGGUCGCGAUAAUAUUAUUGACCUCUUCCUUUAUCAGCCACAAUAUCUUAAUGCAAUUCAGACAAUGUGUCCACACAUUCUUCGCUAUUUGACUACAGCAGUCAUAACAAACAAGGAUGUUCGAAAACGUCGGCAGGUUCUAAAAGAUCUAGUUAAAGUUAUUCAACAGGAGUCUUACACAUAUAAAGACCCAAUUACAGAAUUUGUUGAAUGUUUAUAUGUUAACUUUGACUUUGAUGGGGCUCAGAAAAAGCUGAGGGAAUGUGAAUCAGUGCUUGUGAAUGACUUCUUCUUGGUGGCUUGUCUGGAGGAUUUCAUUGAAAAUGCCCGUCUCUUCAUAUUUGAGACUUUCUGUCGCAUCCACCAGUGUAUCAGCAUUAACAUGUUGGCAGAUAAAUUGAACAUGACUCCAGAA